rnacentral:rRNA from 1 species
AACGAACGCUGGCGGCAGGCUUAACACAUGCAAGUCGAGCGAGACCUUCGGGUCUAGCGGCGGACGGGUGCGUAACGCGUGGGAACGUGCCCUUCUCUACGGAAUAGCCCCGGGAAACUGGGAGUAAUACCGUAUACGCCCUUUGGGGGAAAGAUUUAUCGGAGAAGGAUCGGCCCGCGUUGGAUGAGGUAGUUGGUGGGGUAAUGGCCCACCAAGCCGACGAUCCAUAGCUGGUUUGAGAGGAUGAUCAGCCACACUGGGACUGAGACACGGCCCAGACUCCUACGGGAGGCAGCAGUGGGGAAUCUUAGACAAUGGGGGCAAGCCUGAUCUAGCCAUGCCGCGUGAGUGAUGAAGGCCUUAGGGUUGUAAAGCUCUUUCAGCUGGGAAGAUAAUGACGGUACCAGAAGAAGAAGCCCCGGCUAACUCCGUG